CAAGAGCUUCCUCAAGUUGGGGCUGGAGCGUUACCAUGGCGUCGGUAUUCUGGGCUUUAACUCUCCCGAGUGGUUCAUCUCAGACAUCGGCUGUAUCCUGGCUGGGGGUUUUGCUGCAGGCAUAUACACCACCAACUCCCCG